CCAAUAGCGUAUAUUAAAGUUGUUGCAGUUAAAAAGCUCGUAGUUGAAUUUCGGGAUCAAUACGUCGGUCGUGCUUUCGGGUACGUACUGGCGUCAUUGGUUUCUCCUUUCUGACGAACCAUGAUGUCAUUAAUUUGGUGUUAUGGGGAGUUAGGACUGUUACUUUGAAAAAAUUAGAGUGUUUAAAGCAGGCUCACGCUUGAAUACAUUAGCAUGGAAUAAUGAAAUAGGACGUUUGAUUCUAUUUUGUUGGUUUCUAGGAUCGACGUAAUGAUUAAUAGGGAUAGUUGGGGGCAUUAGUAUUCAAUUGUCAGAGGUGAAAUUCUUGGAUUUAUUGAAGACUAACUACUGCGAAAGCAUUUGCCAAGGAUGUUUUCAUUAAUCAAGAACGAAAGUUAGGGGAUCGAAGACGAUCAGAUACCGUCGUAGUCUUAACCAUAAACUAUGCCGACUAGGGAUCGGAUGAUGUUAAUUUUUUAAUGACUCAUUCGGCGCCUUACG
rnacentral:rRNA from 1 species